GAUGAACGCUAGCGGCAGGCCUAACACAUGCAAGUCGAGGGGCAUCAUGGCGUAGCAAUACGCUGAUGGCGACCGGCGCACGGGUGCGUAACGCGUAUGGAACCUACCCACCGCAGGGGGAUAACCCGCCGAAAGGCGGACUAAUACCCCAUGGUUCCCCGACCCUGCCUGGGGUUGGGGGUAAAGCCUACGGGCGGCGGUGGAUGGCCCUGCGUGCCAUUAGCUGGCUGGUGGGGUAACGGCCCACCAGGGCGACGAUGGCUAGGGGGUCUGAGAGGACGAUCCCCCACACUGGUACUGAGACACGGACCAGACUCCUACGGGAGGCAGCAGUGAGGAAUAUUGGUCAAUGGGCGGAAGCCUGAACCAGCCAUGCCGCGUGCAGGAUGACGGCCCUACGGGUUGUAAACUGCUUUUCCCCGGGGCGAAUAACCCCUCGCGAGGGGAUGCGGUACCGGGGAAGUAAGGAGUCGGCGUAACUCCGUGCCAGCAGCCGCGGUAACUCGUCUCUA
rnacentral:rRNA from 1 species